GACGAACGCUGGCGGCGUGCUUAACACAUGCAAGUCGAACGGAAAGGCCCUGCUUUUGUGGGGUGCUCGAGUGGCGAACGGGUGAGUAACACGUGAGUAACCUGCCCUUGACUUUGGGAUAACUUCAGGAAACUGGGGCUAAUACCGGAUAGGAGCUCCUGCUGCAUGGUGGGGGUUGGAAAGUUUCGGCGGUUGGGGUUGGACUCGCGGCUUAUCAGCUUGUUGGUGGGGUAGUGGCUUACCAAGGCUUUGACGGGUAGCCGGCCUGAGAGGGUGACCGGCCACAUUGGGACUGAGAUACGGCCCAGACUCCUACGUGAGGCAGCAGUGGGGAAUAUUGCACAAUAGGCGGAAGCCUGAUGCAGCAACGCCGCGUGCGGGAUGACGGCCUUCGGGUUGUAAACCGCUUUCGCCUGUGACGAAGCGUGAGUGACGGUAAUGGGUAAAGAAGCACCGGCUAACUACGUG
rnacentral:rRNA from 1 species